rnacentral:lncRNA from 1 species
UUUGCCUGGGGCAAAAUGCAUAGACAUACAUCAGAUGUGUUUUUUGUUUAAAUUGGCUUGUAUAUCAGUGUGACUGUGCAGGGAGGAAGCUUUUAAAGGUAGUACUGNAUUUGUUUCUUAAAAAGAGCCUUAAUCAAGCCUUCCAUUUAAAGUUAUACAAGAUGCCAUGGAAGGCUAAUUAAUAGUAUGACCGAAAGAACUGGAAUUAGUAAGAAUAACAAAAAUCAUACAGGAAGAUUUCACAAUGGGGGCAGGUAAGGAGAAGGCACAUCCACCUCAGCCCAUACAGGCCACACAGCUCUGCGUGUCUCUUUCGUGAAUCUCACAAAAGAAGCUGGAAAACACAAUCUAAUGAAAAUACAAAAGAGAAACACAGCAGCAGCAUAUUAUGGAUCUUCUGCAUGCCAAGGAGUAGGUGGACUGUUUGAACCCAGUCAACACUUUAGUGGAUGUUAAGCUGUGGAUGAUAAGUGGAUGAUAAGCUGAAUGCAAUGGG